rnacentral:tRNA from 1 species
AAAUAGACUAAAGCGAGCUUCUAACUCACUAAUUAAUAGAAAUAAAAUCUAUUCUAUUUU